rnacentral:tRNA from 1 species
GUCAGGAUGGCCGAGUGGUCUAAGGCACCAGACUCAAGAAUGUGGCUUUCCCUUAGUUGUGUGUUCUGGUCUCCAAAUGGAGGUGUGGGUUCAAAAUCUACUUCUGACA